UAAGCUUUCAGCAUUGUGACCUUUGCUAAACAGAUAUUUUUGCAGUUGUCAGGCAAAAGCACAUUACCGGUAAAAUGAAAUGCCACUAUAAUACGACCAGAUGGUGUAGAAUUUGACAAAUGUAUUUGUAACCCUGCUCAAAGCAGUCUUUCAAUAAUUAUGAUGUAAGAGUGUAGUUAAAAUGGGUUGUAAUGUUUUCAGUACUAAAAUUGUCACACAAAAGCCAGCACCUGAUAGCCAUCGGGAUGCUAAUUUCCACUAUUGUUGAAUCAUGGAAAACCUUUGUGUGUGUGACACCAAAAAAAGGUAAACACAAAUUAUGAUGAAGAUUUUUUGUUUGUCAGUAAUACACUAUACAAACUCUCAAAAGUCCAACCAUUCAUGGCAAUUGGCAACACUUAUUCAGUGACAGGACAAACACAAAAAGCAUUACUAUACUGGAGAUGCCACUGUGGUGUACUUGUGGAGAGGGUAAUAUAAGAUUGACAUUUAAAAAUACUGCACUGUUGAGUUCAUUGAUUGACAAAGCACUCAACCAUAUAUCUUUUCUUGCUAAGAUGGCAGUGUUAUGUGUUAUCACUUUACAUUAAAACAAUCUUGGUAACGACAAUGAAGUCAGCACAUAUGUACCCAAAGGUUUUGUGAAUAAGGUGAGGUAGACUCUAAGUAUGCAUCAUAUGGAUCAAGCUAAACAAUAAGAUUUCAUUAUUUGCAUUGAUAUGUCUUGUAUGAUUGAUAUGGCGAAAGUUGUUGUAACAGUUGCACAGUUGCAUAUAACUGGUACUGUAAAAAUCUUGCAUAUAAACACCACUAGCUGGGUAAUGGCAAUCUUGGGAACUGUCCACACCAUGGAUUCAGAGUCAAACAGUAAAGUUACCUUGAGAGCCAGCAUACAAGUAUGUAUGUAUGUAAACGAGAAACUUCAUGUAUGUACGAUGUAGCCAUACAUGCCUUUGUUUCACUGUUGUAAGUAACAGACCUAACUGAGAAGUGGGACUGAUGAUGUAAAGCUUCUAGAAAUGGUUUUGUGAUGGCAGCUAAACGUGUCAGUGGCCAGAGAAUUUCUUUUUUAUUUUUAGCUUCAUUUUAGUUUCUUGAAUAAUCUAUUAAUGAGGUUAGAGUUUGGCAGUGACAUCAAGAUUUGUUAUGCAUGGCAGAAGAGACAAAAUAACAUCUAGGUUUAUGGUAAAGGGAACAUAUGGCCCUCCAAAACUUCAACAUAAAUAGAAACUACUUGAAAAUACAUGUAACAGUAUGAUGACACCUUUUCCUUAACCAAAUAUUCUUAUUCAACUGACACACCAGCCAACCGAGCAAUGCAAUUGGGUUUAAAGCUGUUAAAUCUUUUCUUUUAUCAAGGCUGUGGGUGACAUUGCAUAGUAUAGCACUGAAGCAAUGGUCAGUCCCUUCAGCUAUAGCCUAUGACGCUGAUGAAUAUAGUUGUUCUGUUGUCUGACUACUCAAGUAUACAAUAUCAUGUACAUGGAAUGUAAACUUGAAUCUUGGUCCACCAAGCUAUGAUCACUGUCCAGAAAAAGCCUCUUGUUUUUCAUCAAAGCAGACUUCACUGUAAAAUAGAAGAAAUGGAACAACCAGCCAAGAACAUGGAUGCUCAAUAUGAUGUUUAUUUCAUGUACUGUCAGUUUCUCCCUUGUGAGAUGUAAACAGCACCAAAUGAUUUUUAAGAUUCAGAAGACUGUGAGUCAGUCCUAGUAUUGAUUAGCAGCACUGUCCCUCUAACAUUGAGCCAUUUUGUAUGACAGGAGAUGAAAAACAAAAGGUCUGGUGGUUUUUCUGUUAUUGUAUCACAGUAAGGAAUAGCUCGGCAUUGUGGUUAAACUGCCUAUGUAAAUGCCAAUUCUUGCUCUUGUAUAUUUUGCUAUAUCCCUUUCCUGCUAUAUUCACAUUAAACCUAAAACAGUUUUGUACCAAA